rnacentral:rRNA from 1 species
UUGGAGAGAGAGUAAACAGUGCGUGAAACCGCUCAGAGGUAAACGGGUGGAGUUGAACUGCGAACCCCGAGAAUUCAACUGGUGAGUGUGGUAUGAGCUUGGCAUAAUGGUUGGCUCUGCGGGUCUGCUUAGCUGCAGGUCUUCACCUCUUGGUGGAGAUGCGCGAUACACUUGUCAAGUGGUGCGCGCUCGUUGAGUUACUCGGACAUGCUUGCCAGUGCACUUUCUCGGGGUGUUCACCACGACCGGCGCCGCUACUUGUCUAAUAUGGUUAAACCGGUCUUGCUUGGUCCUUGUGGCUUUGCUUGAUCGGGAUGGCAGGUAACUCGUUAACUUGUGUGUUGGCUUCGGUUGACAUGCGCUUGGUUUUCGAGUGUAAUCAGCUGACUGUAUUGGUGCUAUGUAGUGCGUCGGAGACGGCGGCUUGUGGUGUGUGCUUGCGUGCCUAUUUGCUGACGGAACCGGGUUUGGUUAUUUUGUUGCCUGUUCUGCAGGCCUGGUGAUGGCCCGGUUUCGCUUGGUGAAUGGGGGCGUGUGUGACACUUAUCAGGGCCUAUAGUCUGUGGUGUUGUGGUAGACUAUCCACCUGACCC